GUUAUAGACCCGAACCCGGAUGAUCUAACCAUGGCCAGGAUGAAGCCUAGGUAAUACUAUGUGGAGGUCCGAACCGACUGAUGUUGAAAAAUCAGCGGAUGAGUUGUGGUUAGGGGUGAAAUACCAAUCGAAUUCGGAGCUAGCUGGUUCUCCCCGAAAUGUGUUUAGGCGCAGCGGUUAAUAUUAUAGCUUAGAGGUAAAGCACUGUUUCGGUGCGGGCUGGUAAUUCGGUACCAAAUCGAGGCAAACUCUGAAUACUAAGUGAACAGUUAACCAGUAAGACUGUGGGGGAUAAGCUUCAUAGUCGAGAGGGAAACAGCCCAGAUCGCCAGCUAAGGCCCCUAAGCGUGUGCUAAGUGGAAAAGGAUGUGGAGUCGCAGGGACAACCAGG
rnacentral:rRNA from 1 species